UACGUAGGGGGCAAGCGUUGUCCGGAUUUAUUGGGCGUAAAGAGCGUGUAGGCGGUUUGGUAGGUCCGUUGUGAAAACUCGAGGCUCAACCUCGAGACGCCGAUGGAAACCAUCAGACUAGAGUCCGGAAGAGGAGAGUGGAAUUCCUGGUGUAGCGGUGAGAUGCGCAGAUAUCAGGAAGAACACCCGUGGCUAAGGCGGCUCUCUAGUACGGUACUGACGCUGAGACGCGAAAGCGUGGGGAGCGAACAGG
rnacentral:rRNA from 1 species